UACGUAGGGGGCAAGCGUUGUCCGGAAUCAUUGGGCGUAAAGCGCGUGUAGGCGGCUUGGUAAGUCUGCUCUGAAAGUCCGGGGCUCAACUCCGGAUCUGCGGUGGGUACGGGCAGACUAGAGUGAUGUAGGGGAGACUGGAAUUCCUGGUGUAGCGGUGAAAUGCGCAGAUAUCAGGAGGAACACCGAUGGCGAAGGCAGGUCUCUGGGCAUUAACUGACGCUGAGGAGCGAAAGCAUGGGGAGCGAACAGG
rnacentral:rRNA from 1 species